UCAUUAGUCCAGUCACAUCAGCAUUUUAUUAGUGGCUUACAUGUGAGACCCACCAUAGUACAUAACAUCCACAUCAGCUUCAGUUACCACCAGUAGGACCACGAGAGGCUAACCAUGCACCAACGUCAAUUUCCUGAUUCAGCCCAACCCAUCUCGCCCCCAUUCCCCUGGAUAGCAUCACGCGCGGAGGCGGCAGCCACCGGCGGUGGCGGCGGCCAGGAGCCCCUCUCACACCCUCAGGCAGGAGCGUUCUACGUGCGGAGAGGCGCCACUCCGGCUCAGCUCACCUCUGAACACUCCGACGCGGCAGCCCGGACCGCCUCUCACACCCCUCAGGCAGGAGGAGCCUUUGCGUGCGGCGCGACGGCCUUCCGGCAGUCCUGCCGGCCCAGCUCCCUCUGCGUGCCGCGCGUCGUCCCUCCGGCAGGACCGCUGGCCUAUCUCCCCUCUGAUUUUCUAACGACUCUCUCGGGCUGUGUCCCCCUUCUCGUGCCCAGCUCCCCUCCCGUUCCGGACAAGACGCAUCUGCCUUCGGUGGGAAGGUCGGAUUCGAUCGGUUCCACCGGAAUCGGACCGCCAGCUGAUGUCCGGAGGUGCUCCGUGGCUGGAUUCCCUCUGGUGGGCACUCCGUCCUCAGCCAUGGGAUGCACGCCACUGCUGCCCAUCCCGACUGGGCGGAGGCUCCCUUUUCCUGCAGGUGCUGCCCCGCUGAUUUAGUGCUCAGAAAAUUUUGUUGGCUGUUGAUUUGCUGCCAAGGACGGCAAACUCGACUAUGGCGACGCCAUCUGUGGACUUCAAGGUGCCUAAUUGAUGUUUGGCGUUCCCUCUUCUAAUAACGUUCGUGACGUCCACUUCCUCUCCCCACAAUCUCGAGAGAAACUGAUGGAUUUUUGCCCUAUAAAGUCUACUACACCUAAGUACCUCACCUCAUUUUGUAUCAUCGUCCUCCAGUACGGGUGGGUCUCUCCCAGAAUUCUCAUACUGCAGCCGGUUGUGCGUGCUUGACGACACCCCGGUAGCUAUCUUUGUUUGUCUUCCCUCACUGCAUACACAAACGAAUUCGAUUUCUACCUCCUACUGGUACAUAUUAUUUCUUAUUUUCAUACCAAUUUUGCUGAGCUUCCAUUGUAACCCAGAAAUGUUAUCAUCAGGGACACCUUUUAUUUCAUGCAAAUAUUAUAAACCAGACACAUGACUUAAAAUUUCCUAUAAAUAUUACCUAAUUUAUGCAGCUCAAACUGUGCCAGUGUUUUAAAAAUGUCAGACCAUUUUUGGUUGAAGGCCUGGGCACUCUGCCUCCGAAUAAGUGGUGCCUACAUGAUGAAAUUUUUUGCUUGGCCAAACUAGCCUUGUGGGUGAACGUUUCGUUCUUGACCUUGCUUGCUGCUAUGUCGUUCAGUGAGGCCAAUCAACGUAUUUACAUUUUCUUUCCAAGUAAGCCAUCCAAACAAUCACCACGCCCAAAUCUUACAUGCAUGUGCUAUAUUAAUACAUACAGUAACUGCUUAAUUUACUGGUGAUUAGAAUCACAAUAUAAAUACCAUUGAUGACUUUCUAUACAGUCACUGCUAUUUUUUUAAUACCAUUCACUGCUAAAUUAGUUUUUUUUGCGGGGCACUGCUAAAUUAGUUGUGUAUUAAUAAUUCUUAAAACAACAUCGCUUGGUUACAAUUUUUUUUCUGCCCCACAUCUAUAUAUAACAGCACCCGUAGCAUUCUAUCUGUAGAAGUUCAUCUUCCCUACACCUAAAUAUUGACUUUUACAAACUACAUGGACAACCAGCAGGAAGGCAACAGUAUGCGAUCUCAUGCACCAAGAAAAGUUUUGCCACCUUCAUCAACGCAACAAACAAGAGAAAGACACAAAGACUACAUAGCAGCUGUUACAAAGAUGAAGAAUGCUACAAAAACGCCAACAACCAGCAUAUCAUUUCUUUUUUCUUUUUCUUUUGCGAGUAACCAGCAUCUCAUUUCAACACGACACCACAAUGGAUCAUCCAUCCAGGGCUGGAAAAUACAUCUUUGAGUACAUCAAGGAAUCCCAGAUGUACAAUUCGUUCACAAGGAAGAAGAUAUUGUGCUAUUUAUCCUAUGAAACUGUUAUACAUCUAUCAAAUAAUCAAGUAAAAUAAAUUCAUUAUUA